rnacentral:misc_RNA from 1 species
GAUGAAGAACGUAGCGAAAUGCGAUACGUAAUGUGAAUUGUAGAAUUCAGUGAAUCAUCGAGUCUUUGAACGCACAUUGCGCCCCCUGGUAUUCCGGGGGGCAUGCCUGUCCGAGCGUCAUUGCUGCCCUCAAGCACGGCUUGUGUGUUGGGCCUCCGUCCUCCUCCCGGGGGACGGGCCCGAAAGGCAGCGGCGGCACCGCGUCCGGUCCUCGAGCGUAUGGGGCUUCGUCACCCGCUCUUGUAGGCCCGGCCGGCGCUUGCCGACACAUCAAUCUUUUUUCCAGGUUGACCUCGGAUCAGGUAGGGAUACCCGCUGAACUUAAGCAUAUCAAUAAGCGGAGGA